ACCUGUUUGACUUGCCUUGGUACAGAGAAUGGAGCUGCAAGACUCCCCUGGUCAGAUCACGUCGGGUCUCCUGAAGACACCAGGAGGAUUCUACUGUGCACAGCAGUGUGUUUCCCAGUAAAGAAAAUAGGAUGCGGCCGUGCGCAGUGACUUACACCUGUAAUCCCAGCACUUUGGGAGGCCGAGGCGGGUGGAUCACCUGAGCUUCACGGAGCUACCUGAGUCAGCGCCUGCAUCUCCACCACCAUCAUCAUCGUCACUGUCUUCAUCGCCUCUGGGCUGGACCAGCCCCUGCCUGUGAGCUCCCUGGAGCCAGAGGUGCAAAGUCUGCAAUGACACAAAAAGCCAGCACGCUGGGAGGGGCUCUGGAGACCAUCUCAUUGUUCAUUCAUUUGUCUAUUCAAUCCAUUUUAUUGACUGCUCACUGUGUGCCAGACACAUGGGCCCUGGAGAUACAGAAGAAACACGUGAGGUCCCUGCCCUCCAGGAAUUAAGAAGAUAAAGUCAAAAGUGCUGUAAAGAACAACAGGAUGAUGGGCCAGUAUUUGAAGAGGUCGUUUUCAGAUGGGGUGGGCAGGGAAGGCAUGUCUGAGAAAGGAAUCUUUGUGGACACCUUAAUGCUUAGGACAUGGGGCUGAGAAAAGCAGGCAGAGGAAUUUCAGAUAACGCCUCAGUUGGUAAAAAGCUAGGGGGAUGGUGCAGGCAAGGAAUAGAAGGAAGGACAGUGUGGUGGGAGUUUGGUGGUGAGUGAAAGAGGGGCCUGGGGACCGUGCACACUUGAAGGCUGUAGCCGGGCAUCUGGCUUGGAUUUUGAGGACUGAGGGGACCAUUACAGGGCUUUAGGCAUGGGGAUGGCACGAUCCAAUUUACAUUUUUCAUGUCAUUCCAUCUGCUUCCUGGAGAACACAUGAUAGGAAGAAGGAACGUGGAAGCAGGGAGACCAGUGAGGUGGUAACUCCAGAAACAAAGAGGUGGCGGCUGAUGGGGCGAGUGGGAGGAGCCUGACCCUGGUGGAUUUUGGAGGCACAGAAGGCAAACCUGCUGGGGGAUUGUCUGUGGGGGACAGGGAGAGCAAAGACUGGGUGCCUUCCUCUUCCUGCCUUCCUCUUCCCGCUUUGCACCCCUUCUGGCCUGAAUCAUCUCCCUCAGGUAACUAAGAGGAGGGGGCAAAGGACUCCAGACUAUGUAGCCAGAUAUAGCCCCAGGUCCCCAGGGCUAUAUCUUGGGUCUGUGCAGAAACUAGGGACGUGGGGGCCAGAGGUAUUUUUAGCCUUCUAGCUCUCUCCUUCUGUCUUCUGCAAUCCCUCUCCCUACCCCCUUCCCCCUUCUUCUCUCCUUCUCCCUUCCCUCUCCAGCUCCUUCCCCCACCUCCUGCUCCUCUUUCUCUCUCUCUCACACACACAUACACACACACACACACAUACACACACACACACACACACACACACACACACGAAGCAGCCUUAUCAGGAGGAAGCCUCCAGCAGAGACAAGCGGUCUCCAGGGACAGAGCAGAGGAGCUGACAGGAGUUUCCGGAGCAGGGGGAGGCUGACUUCCCUGCCUUCCCCAUUCCUUCCAGCUCCCACUGCCUCUCGCUUCCUGCAGCAUUUCUCUCCAGACGCGCGCUUCUCAACUGGAGGCCACUUUGUCUUCCUGGGACAUUUGGCAAUAUCUGGAAACAUUGUUGGUUGUCAUAACUGAGGAGGGGGCAGGGUUGGCAUGGAGUGGGUAGAGACCAGAGAUGCACAGGACAGCCCCCAUAACAAAGAAUGAUCGGCGCCAACAGUGCUGAGAGCCCUCCCUAGGCUCUGCCGGCAGAGCUGGAAGGGACUGUCCUCUUCCUUGUGGUCCCACUAUCACCACACUGGCCACACUGUCCCUGCAUUAUCUCUAUUGGUCUUCUCAGCCACACUGUGAGGUACAUAGUAUUAUUCACCCAAGGUCAUGCAGGCAGUAAGAGGCAGAGCUGGGAUUAAGACUGUGAAGCCUGUGGUUUAACUGGUCUCUCUCUACUGAAGGGGUUGUCACAGCCUGUGUCAUUGUUAUUAGCAAUGGGACACGCUGUCUCAAGUGAAGUCUUAUUCAGAAGUCCAAUGUAAGUCCACUGUGUAAGACAGAGAGCGUAGAACUGCCUAGGGUGAAGCAGUGUGGGAGGUUAUGAACCCCCUGGGCCCACCCCUCUUCCCACCUUAUGGAGCCUCCAAAAGCCAUCUGUCUAGCCGGGCAGGGCCCCUGUGGAGGGCUGCACAGGUUGUGCACUGCAAAACUCUAGGAGAGGCCACUCCCAUGGGCUUCUUCGUGGGGCCUGUUGAGGUAAGGCAGAGCUCCUUUAGGGAAGGGUGGCAAAUGGGAUUUCUCCCAUUGCAGACAUGUGUUGCUUAGCAGACAAGGUGUCACGGUAGCCUAAUAAGGUCUGGAGUAGGAAAGCGGGAUGAGAGUGGCUGAGUGGCCAGCAUCUGCCUUCCUGGUCCUAAAAUAUGGAGAAUAGAAAAUAGAAUUGGAGGCCAGGCGCGGUGGCUCACGCCUGUAAUCCCAGCACUUUGGGAGGUCGAGGUGGGCAGAUCACCAGGUCAGGAGAUCAAGACCAUCCUGGCUAACACGGUGAAACCCCGUCUGUACUAAAAAUACAAAACAAUUAGCCGGGCGUGGCGGCAUGUGCCUGUUGUCCCAGCUACUCAGGAGGCUGAGGCAGGAGAAUGGCGUGAACCCGGGAGGCAGAGCUGGCAGUGAGCCGAGAUCGUGCCACUGCACUCCAGCCUGGGUAACAGAGCAAGACUCCAUCUCAAAAAACAAAAAGAAAAGAAAAUGGAAUUGGACUAGGAGAUAUCUUGACACUCCCCACCCUUGCAACUUAGCAGCGACUCAACAAUGAAGCUGCCAACCCUCGUUCCAAAACCUUACAAGACCUGAGGCUCGUAUAUACACUAGUCCCCCAGGAAAGCCUUCCCUAACCCUAGAGCCUCUCUCCCCAGAGCCCCAUCAGGUUUCCUUUUUGGGGCCUCCUGUUGUUCAUCUUUAUCUAAACCUGGAUUCAUGUUUGGGCAGAGAAGCUGUAGUUGAGGUUGUCACCGCCUUCUCAACCCUCCUGGGGAAGGCUUGGGCUAGACCUGGCAGAAGGGGUUGGAUAGGGGAUGUCCCUCUCCAGGUCUCCCCGUGGAGUGAGACCCUUUCCCCUUGAGUGCCAUGGUGGCUCCCCAGGCAUCAUCAAGCCACCUGGCAUCUUGGUGCUUUGACAUGAGAUCCAGUAGACACCCUGUAAAGGAGGACUGUGGGCACUGCCUGCUCUCUCGGCAUGGGCUUCUCCAGCUGCCCUGCACUUGGGCAUCUUACAGCCUGGAAUAAAUCCUCCUGGCCCAUGUCCCCUCUGCCUGGACCCAGCUACAGAGUGAUACUGCUGAUGCCAGAACUGACUCUUCUGUUCCAACAGGGAGUGGUGCCCUCGGGUCCCAAGAGGGCUGCAGACUGCAGGCCUCCCUGAAGUGAAGAUGCAGCAAAGUGGAAGACAGCACACGGAAACCAUGCAGCAGCUCCCUCUGGGGAAGAGAAAGAGGGAGCCACGUUGCUCUAUACCCUGUGGACUUCUUGCAAUAUGAACCUUCAUGGACCUAAGAAAAAUAAUAAUAAAGGAAAAAAUAGCCAGGUGGGCUGGUUCACACCUGGGAUCCCAGCACUUUAGGAGGCCGAGGCAAGUGGAUGACUUGAGCCUAGGAGUUCCAGACCAGUAACAAGGCAAAACCCUGUCUCUACCAAAAAUUAUCUGGGUAAGGUGGUGCAUGACUGUAGUCUCAGCUCCUUGGGAGGCUGAGAUGGGGAGGAUCUCUCAAGCCUGGGAAGCUGUGGCUGCAGUGAGCUGUGAUCGUGCCACUGCACUUCAGCCAGGCCACAGAACGUGUCCCUGUCUCAAAAAGAGAGAGAGAGACAGAAAAAAAGUUUGAGGCUUGGCAGUAGAGCCCUGAAUGAGGCAGUGGCCAGUCCAGCAGUGAAUACACACUAAGAACGGGCUGUGACCAUGUGGAAGGGCUCUUGUUCUCAACCCCUUGUGCUGGCCUCAGAAAGGAGAGUCUUUUUUUUUUUUUUUUUUUUUUUUUUUUGAGACAGAGUCUCGCUCUGUUGCCCAGGCUGGAGUGCAGUGGCACCAUCUCAGCUAACUGCAACCUCUGCCUCCAGGUUCAAGCAAUUCUCCGGCCUCAGCCUCCUGAGUAGCUGGGAUUAUAGGCACCCGCCACCAUGCCCGGCUAAUGUUUGUAUUUUUAGUAGAGUCGGGGUUUCACCAUGUUGGCCAGGCUGGUCUCAAACUCUUGACCUCAAGUGAUCCACCUGCCUUGGCUUCCCAAAGUUCUGGGAUUACAGGCAUGAGCCACUGCACCCAGCCAGGAAGGAGAUUAAAUUCUGCCUUCCCAGGAAAUACUCUGUCUGUGUAUUUGUUCAUUCAGACAACAAAUAUUCCUUGAGCUCCUGCUAUGUACUGAGCACUGCACUGGGUGCUAGUCAAGGUCCCUGCUUUCCGGGAACAAAUAGACUGAUGGGGUGGGCAGGGAGUGGGGAAUAUGGAGGUAUAGGCAGGGAAACCGGCCAUCAGAGCAGUGGUCAGCAUCAGGACAGGGGAUCUAAAGGGACUGCCAUCAAGGUGGGACAUGAGGGGUCAGGAAAGGCCUGGAGGUAAGGAGGUGGACACUGGAAUCAAAAGAAUGAACAAAAAGCCUGGGAGAGUUGGAGUGCGGUGGAUAGGGGUGUUCUACGCAGAGGGUGUCCCUGGUGAGAGGCCCAGCUCAGAAAGGGGAUUUCUUUCUCUCUCUCUCUUUUUAUUUUUAUUUUUUAUUUAUUUAAUUUUUUUGAGACCGGGUCUUGCUCCAUUGCCCAGGCUGGAGUGCAAUGGUGCAAUCAUGGCUCACUGCAGCCUCAAAUGAGAGAUAACAGCGUGCUGGCAGUCCUCACAGCCCUCGCUCACUCUCGGGGCCUCCUCUGCCUGGGCUCCCACUUUGGC
rnacentral:lncRNA from 10 species